CCGGAAGACCAAGGGUUCCUGUCCAACGUUAAUCGGGGCAGGGUGAGUCGACCCCUAAGGCGAGGCCGAAAGGCGUAGUCGAUGGGAAACAGGUUAAUAUUCCUGUACUUGGUGUUACUGCGAAGGGGGGACGGAGAAGGCUAUGUUGGCCGGGCGACGGUUGUCCCGGUUUAAGCGUGUAGGCUGGUUUUCCAGGCAAAUCCGGAAAAUCAAGGCUGAGGCGUGAUGACGAGGCACUACGGUGCUGAAGCAACAAAUGCCCUGCUUCCAGGAAAAGCCUCUAAGCAUCAGGUAACAUCAAAUCGUACCCCAAACCGACACAGGUGGUCAGGUAGAGAAUACCAAGGCGCUUGAGAGAACUCGGGUGAAGGAACUAGGCAAAAUGGUGCCGUAACUUCGGGAGAAGGCACGCUGAUAUGUAGGUGAAGUCCCUUGCGGAUGGAGCUGAAAUCAGUCGAAGAUACCAGCUGGCUGCAACUGUUUAUUAAAAACACAGCACUGUGCAAACACGAAAGUGGACGUAUACGGUGUGACGCCUGCCCGGUGCCGGAAGGUUAAUUGAUGGGGUCAGCGCAAGCGAAGCUCUUGAUCGAAGCCCCGGUAAACGGCGGCCGUAACUAUAACGGUCCUAAGGUAGCGAAAUUCCUUGUCGGGUAAGUUCCGACCUGCACGAAUGGCGUAAUGAUGGCCAGGCUGUCUCCACCCGAGACUCAGUGAAAUUGAACUCGCUGUGAAGAUGCAGUGUACCCGCGGCAAGACGGAAAGACCCCGUGAACCUUUACUAUAGCUUGACACUGAACAUUGAGCCUUGAUGUGUAGGAUAGGUGGGAGGCUUUGAAGUGUGGACGCCAGUCUGCAUGGAGCCGGCCUUGAAAUACCACCCUUUAAUGUUUGAUGUUCUAACGUGGACCCGUGAUCCGGGUUGCGGACAGUGUCUGGUGGGUAGUUUGACUGGGGCGGUCUCCUCCUAAAGAGUAACGGAGGAGCACGAAGGUUGGCUAAUCCUGGUCGGACAUCAGGAGGUUAGUGCAAUGGCAUAAGCCAGCUUGACUGCGAGCGUGACGGCGCGAGCAGGUGCGAAAGCAGGUCAUAGUGAUCCGGUGGUUCUGAAUGGAAGGGCCAUCGCUCAACGGAUAAAAGGUACUCCGGGGAUAACAGGCUGAUACCGCCCAAGAGUUCAUAUCGACGGCGGUGUUUGGCACCUCGAUGUCGGCUCAUCACAUCCUGGGGCUGAAGUAGGUCCCAAGGGUAUGGCUGUUCGCCAUUUAAAGUGGUACGCGAGCUGGGUUUAGAACGUCGUGAGACAGUUCGGUCCCUAUCUGCCGUGGGCGCUGGAGAACUGAGGGGGGCUGCUCCUAGUACGAGAGGACCGGAGUGGACGCAUCACUGGUGUUCGGGUUGUCAUGCCAAUGGCACUGCCCGGUAGCUAAAUGCGGAAGAGAUAAGUGCUGAAAGCAUCUAAGCACGAAACUUGCCCCGAGAUGAGUUCUCCCUGACCCUUUAAGGGUCCUGAAGGAACGUUGAAGACGACGACGUUGAUAGGCCGGGUGUGUAAGCGCAGCGAUGCGUUGAGCUAACCGGUACUAAUGAACCGUGAGGCUUAACCUUACAACGCCGAAG
rnacentral:rRNA from 1 species